GAUGAACGCUAGCGACAGGCUUAACACAUGCAAGUCGAGGGGCAGCGGGGAGUAGCAAUACUUUGCCGGCGACCGGCGCACGGGUGCGUAACGCGUAUGCAACCUACCCAUCAGACGGGGAUAACCCGGCGAAAGUCGGACUAAUACCCGAUGAAGCAGGGGCACUGCAUGGUGCUAUUUGCUAAAGGAUUUAUUGCUGAUGGAUGGGCAUGCGUUCCAUUAGGUAGUUGGCGGGGUAACGGCCCACCAAGCCAUCGAUGGAUAGGGGUUCUGAGAGGAAGGUCCCCCACACUGGUACUGAGACACGGACCAGACUCCUACGGGAGGCAGCAGUGAGGAAUAUUGGUCAAUGGGCGGGAGCCUGAACCAGCCAAGUCGCGUGCAGGAAGACUGCCCUAUGGGUUGUAAACUGCUUUUACGGGGGAAUAAUGGCCGCUACGUGUAGCGGAGAUGCAUGUACCCUGUGAAUAAGCAUCGGCUAACUCCGUGCCAGCCGCCGCUGUAAAAC
rnacentral:rRNA from 1 species